rnacentral:rRNA from 1 species
UACGUAGGGCGCAAGCGUUGUCCGGAAUUAUUGGGCGUAAAGAGCUCGUAGGCGGUCUGUUACGUCCGCUGUGAAAACCCGGGGCUUAACCCCGAGCCUGCAGUGGAUACGGGCAGACUAGAGGUAGGUAGGGGAGAAUGGAAUUCCCGGUGUAGCGGUGAAAUGCGCAGAUAUCGGGAGGAACACCGGUGGCGAAGGCGGUUCUCUGGGCCUUCCUGGACGCUGAGGAGCGAAAGCGUGGG